GAGUUUGAUCGUGGCUCAGAGCGAACGCUGGCGGCAGGCUUAACACAUGCAAGUCGAGCGGGCCCUUCGGGGUCAGCGGCGGACGGGUGAGUAACGCGUGGGAACGUGCCUUCUGGUUCGGAAUAACCCUGGGAAACUAGGCUAAUACCGGAUACGCCCUUUUGGGGAAAGGUUUACUGCCGGAAGAUCGGCCCGCGUCUGAUUAGCUAGUUGGUGGGGUAAUGGCCUACCAAGGCGACGAUCAGUAGCUGGUCUGAGAGGGAUGAUCAGCCACACUGGGACUGAGACACGGCCCAGACUCCUACGGGAGGCAGCAGUGGGAAUAUUGGACAAUGGGCGCAAGCCUGAUCCAGCCAUGCCGCGUGAGUGAUGAAGGCCUUAGGGUUGUAAAGCUCUUUUAUCCGGGACGAUAAUGACGGUACCGGAGGAAUAAGCCCGGCUAACUUCGUGCCAGCAGCCGCCG
rnacentral:rRNA from 1 species